GAUUUCUGGUAUGAUGCCCCUGAUCCGCGCCCUUCGGGGUGUGUGUGUUGGUGUGGCGUCUGCCAUCUUUUUUGUAAGCGCUGGGCCCCAGGCCUUUACUGGUUUGGUAACCUACGUGUUUACAAGUUUUACUUUGAAAAAAUUAGAGUGUUUAAAGCAGGCUUUUGCCUUUUGAAUACAUUAGCAUGGAAUAAUAAUAUAGGACUUCGGUUCUAUUUUGUUGGUUUCUAGUACUGAAGUAAUGAUUGAUAGGGACAGUUGGGGGUGCUAGUAUUCAGCGGCCAGAGGUGAAAUUCUUGGAUUCGCUGAAGACUAACUUAUGCGAAAGCAUU
rnacentral:rRNA from 1 species